UACGUAGGUGGCAAGCGUUGUCCGGAUUUAUUGGGCGUAAAGAGCGCGUAGGCGGCUUGUUAAGUUCGGGGUGAAAUCUCCCGGCUCAACUGGGAGGGGUCCUCGGAUACUGGCAGGCUAAGAGGAGAGCAGAGGAGAGUGGAAUUCCCGGUGUAGUGGUGGAAUGCGUAGAUAUCGGGAGGAACACCAGUGGCGAAGGCGGCUCUCUGGGCUCUGCCUGACGCUGAGGCGCGAAAGCGUGGGGA
rnacentral:rRNA from 1 species